CGUACCCCCUCCUAACUGCCAAAGUGUCAUGGCCGCCGUCGGGACCUAUUGUGCUGACAUUUACAAUGUUUACAUAUAGAAAAGUUUGUUUUUUUCUGCUUAUAAUGCCGUUUUCUAAAGAUAUUAGUGAACAAAAUCGAUUUGCUAACAAUAUUUAAUAUAUUUUAAAUGUGCUAAAAUUGGAUUCAACAGCAAAAGUCGCAUAAAUAACAUAUAAAUAACGAAUUUGUUCACCUAUUACAAAUGGGGUUAUGUGGUUGUAACUGUUUAUUUUGGGAAUAAAAUGAAAAUGAUCAAUUAAACGACUGGAAAACUAUAGUGAAGUGAAGAACAUCUUGAAGUUCCAAUGAUGUUUCAAGAUGAGGUAAAUCGAAAUAAUUGUAUGUUAGAAGGACAGAGAAUAUGAAGAAAUGUUAUUGCUGCAUAUUUAGUGUAGUGAAAUACAAACUUCAAACAUUAUAAUAUAUUUUUUGAUUUCAAACAUUUCAUAUGAUUAUGAAAGAACAUCUUUCUUUUUAAAACAAUGAAGAAGUGAAGAACAUAAUAAAGUUCCAACGAAAAUGAUUCCAGAUGAGGAAAAUCGAAAUAAUGGUUGUAUGUUACAUGUAUAGAGAAUACGAAGAAAUGUUAUUGCUGCAAACUUAGUGUAGUGAAUUAAAAACUUAUUGUCAAAUACAAAUCAAUUUAUUUCAUACUUUUAUAAUAUAUAGUGAUAUAAUUUUAUAUGUGUUCAAAUAAAAAUAUUAAUAAAUAAAAUACAAUAAACACAAA